CUUGGACCAGGGCUGCUACUAGCGACUUUGGCUACCGCUGGUAGUGGUGGGUCAACAACAUCUUCAACGUCGAGGGCUGGAGAAGGGGCAGCUACUGGUGGUUGAGUACCAUCAGGAAGGAACUGAGUUAGAUAUGGUAGUUGAAUAGUUGCUGGAUACUCCGUGAUGAUCCCACUAACGUUGAAGGGAGCAAAAGUAGCAAUUUCUAAAGUUGGAUCAGAGAGGAAAUCAAAUGCAAGACUAAAAAAUUCAUUCCUCAUGACAGAGACGUAUACGGUUAGAUUGGCUUUUUGCAGUUCGGCUACAACUUGGGUAGCAGCUUUAGCAAGGCCUUGGUGUACUGGAACGAUGGAUUGUCUUGGAACAUUAACUGCAUUAGCGAACUUCUUGAUUUCAUCUACAGACUUCGCCGGUGCAUCACCUAUGUCUUUUUUAAGGGAAAACACUCUUUCAUAUGCAGUAACAUUCUGAAAUUUGGACAACACUGAAGUGUCGUCUGAUUGGAUUAAGACUAUUUGUGCGGACUGCUUAUCAAAAGAGGCAUUGCUCAAGGCAACGCUAACUGCACCUACUAUGUCAAGACCCUUCUUUGAAGCUAGGGUUUCUUGGAUACUUGUCACCGUUUGCAAAAGGGCUUCCCAAUUGAGCUGGGAUAAGGGAGAUGCACUGUAAGAGGGAUUUCCAGAAACAUUAAGCAAAUGCAUGCAGGGAAAGCAGUGAAGAAGCCUUACGUUUCAAUGUCUGAAUUUCACUCCAUGUGAGAUCAAAAGAAAAGAUUCCGGCAUUCGGUUGAAUUUCAGGGAUAGUGGCAGAUCGGGCUGAGAAGGUAGUUGUUGCGGUAGUGUCUGUUGUAAGAUCUGCAGAACCCAUACAGAAUGCCGUCCCAUCUUUUGUCAUUUGAGCUGAGCAAUCUAUUAUGUCAGCCCCAUCAUUUAAUGCUUGUUGAUAAGCAAGAUCUGUGCUGUUAGAAUAAACUCCACUUGCUCCAUUGUGAGAUAUGAUCAAAGGUCUACCUGCACAGGAACAGCAUUUUUGUGCAUGGCAAAACAGUUUUUCUACCGCUAGAUUAGCUCCAGUACGUUAGAAUAGGAACUUACCCGCCUUAGUAAAGUUUAGAUUACUGAAAUGUGCAAAGCAUGCUGCACCAGAGGGAACCUUACGAGGGUUAGAUCAGAAGUUGGCAUAGUUCGGCAAAACUAAAUUAUCCAGAUGAACAAUUUGAGUUGUUUUUCACAACCCCUUUGUUUAGAUACAUAUUGGUGAGAAAAUGACAGAUGAAUAUAGAGAAUUGAUCAUAUUACCAAGAGCUGAUGAUGCUGUGGGAGGAAAAUCUGAAACCACCCCAUCAACAGAAAACUGCGGAUUAUUGAUAAAUUGCAAGUACUCAGAUAUAGGGUCAUAAGUAUAAUUAUAGACUGUAGCCAAGUCAUUUGCAAAGCCAGUAGCAUGUACUUCAAGACCCAGUUUAUGAGCAUCAAGGACAAGAGUUGUGGAGCUCUCCAAAUAGUUGUCUUUGUUUACAGGCCAUAUGUAAUUUUUUGGGACAGCAAUCCCAGAUGCGAAUGUCUUGACUGUGGCAAGAUCUUCCAAUAUUGAACCAUAUGUUUUGCUGGUCGAGGGUUCAAUUGCAUCUUUUUCAAGGAAAACGAAAAUGAGUUUAGUCUUGGGGUUGGUCGCUUUUCCUUUCAUUGCCUUCAAGAAACCAAUCUCAGGAGAUGAGAUAUAAUUGACAAGCCGAAAAAUUCUUUCCUUUUGAAUAUAUGAUGCCACAUUUAGUUUGUGUUCAUUGUAGAACAUAUAAUUCUGCAGUUAAACAAAAUCUUAAUUCUUCUAUAUUCCUUGGAAAUUCUUGAAAUUGAAAAGUGAUGCUGCAAGUACCUGAACAUUCAACCAAUAUGAUUGGAUUUGAGCUCGGAAAAUAUCAUCAACGGUUUUGGCUUGAUCUGGGUAGAUCAUGUCUAUAUUUGUUGAAGCUUCAAGGGUGAUGUUUUCCUGGCAUAAUCCAAGGCCAUCUUUUGUUAGUUGUAAAUUGCAGAGCAUAACCAUCUCUCUUAAGCUUGAAUCCCUUCCAAUAUUAAGUGCUAAGCUAGAGGAUUCUGGGAAAACCCCUGAAAGCCCACCUCUAGCAAUUACAGCAGGCGGCUGACCUGCAUAUAAAUGCAUUUACAGAAUCAAAAUUUACAGAUCAUAUACCAAGUUUCAAAAUUUAGAAGGCUAUAAAAUCCUGCUACCAUUUAGAGUUAGCCAUUUCUUGUUAACUGCUGGAACUUCUUUUGAUUCUGAAGAAUGGAUCAACAAGGAAAUGAGAAGCAAACACCUGAUCAUUCUCUUCAUUUCCUGUUACACACUGCCACACAAUGAUUAAUAGAAUGAACAAAGCAAGAUCCUUCAUUCUUUUUCUUUAUUUUUCCAUUAAGAUGAAAACAACUUACAAAUGAAUCUUUCAAGGAUUAGGAAUGGAAAUGAAACAUUCCCUGUUGAGUUUCA